rnacentral:rRNA from 1 species
GGCGAUCAGAUACCGCCCUAGUUCUGACCGUAAACGAUGCCAACUAGCGAUCCGCCAGUCGACUCAUCGCUCUGGUGGGGAGCUUCCCGGAACGAAAGCCUUCCGGUUCCGGGGGAAGUAUGGUUGCAAAGCUGAAACUUAAAGGAAUUGACGGAAGGGCACCACCAGGAGUGGAGCCUGCGGCUUAAUUUGACUCAACACGGGGAAACUCACCCGGCCCGGACACCGUAAGGAUUGACAGAUUGAUAGCUUUUUCAUGAUUCGGUGGAUGGUGGUGCAUGGCCGUUCUUAGUUCGUGGAGCGAUUUGUCUGGUUUAUUCCGAUAACGAGCGAGACUCUGGCCUACUAAAUAGUUGACGCAUUGCCACUGUGCGCACAACUUCUUAGAGGGAUUUUCGGUGUUUUCAACCGCACGAAAUUGAGCAAUAACAGGCCUGUGAUGCCCUUAGAUGUCCGGGGCUGCACGCGCGCUACACUGGCAAACGCAACGUGCCUGUCCUGCCCCGAAAGGAGCGGGUAAACCCCUGAAAUUUUGCCGUGAUUGGGAUCGGACAUUGCAACUAUUGUCCGUGAACGAGGAAUUCCUUGUAGGGGCGAGUCAUCAACUCGUCCCGAAUACGUCCCUGCCCUUGA